rnacentral:lncRNA from 1 species
GGAUUUCUGAAUUUUGUAAAAUAAAAGGUUUUCUACCCCUCGUGGUAGCGUUUUUAAAGAAUAAAGGUUUUCGUGUAGGAAACAGUUUUCAAAAGGUUUCUGUGGAUUUUCCAUCUUAGUAUUUCAAAACCUGUUUCUGUGGUUGGAAACAUUUUAACUAAUAGGUGUGGAUUUAUGCAUAAAGGUGAACCUGUAGUGAAUGGUGUACGAAUAUAUAUAACGGUUGGUUAUUUGUAAGUUCGUUUGUUGUGGUUAUGCCUGGAUGACUUCUUGUACUUGUGCGACGCCGUGCAAAUACAGGGGAGACUCUGUCCGCGUGAACAGUGGAUUUCCUGUAUUUGUGGCGGAUCUGGCAUACUCUGGGGUCAGGUUUUCAAAAAAAAA